AGGACACGCUGGCGGCGUGCCUAACACAUGCAAGUCGAGCGGACGGUUACGAGGUUGUAGAGAUACAAAGGAGUGACUGUUAGCGGCGAACGGGUGAGUAACACGUGGACAAUCUGCCCUCCGGGUCGGGAUAACAGACCGAAAGGCCUGCUAAUACCGAAUGAGGCGGCGACCUCGCAUGGGGAUGCCGUCAAAGGGGAAACCCGCCGGGGGAGGAGUCCGCGUCCCAUUAGCUAGUUGGUGAUGUAACGGACCACCAAGGCGAUGAUGGGUAGCCGGCCUGAGAGGGUGAACGGCCACAUUGGGACUGAGACACGGCCCAGACUCCUACGGGGGGCAGCAGUGAGGGAUUUUCGGCAAUGGGCGAAAGCCUGACCGAGCGACGCCGCGUGAGCGAAGAAGGCCUUCGGGUCGUAAAGCUCUGUCUAGGGGGAAGAGGAAGGACGGUACCCCUGGAGGAAGCCACGGCUAACUACGUG
rnacentral:rRNA from 1 species